GGAGCUUAGGUUAACCCAAGACCAAGGGCCUUCAAAGCCCUAAGCGGAUGUGAAAACCCUCCAGCCCCUG
rnacentral:tRNA from 1 species